rnacentral:tRNA from 1 species
GCCGAAGUGGUGAAACUGGCAGACACGCAGGGUUUAGGUCUCUGUGCCCUCGGGCGUGCGGGUUCGAGUCCCGCCUUCGGCACCA